GCCGAUGUAGCUCAGCUGGCAGAGCGGGGCUUUCGUAAAGCUCAGGUCGUGGGUUCGAAUCCCACCGUCGGCUCCA
rnacentral:tRNA from 1 species